rnacentral:rRNA from 1 species
UAAGCCUGCGAAGGUGGCCUGUGAGGGUUGCUGGAGGUAUCAGAAGUGCGAAUGCUGACAUAAGUAACGAUAAAGCGGGUGAAAAGCCCGCUCGCCGGAAGACCAAGGGUUCCUGUCCAACGUUAAUCGGGGCAGGGUGAGUCGACCCCUAAGGCGAGGCCGAAAGGCGUAGUCGAUGGGAAACGGGUUAAUAUUCCCGUACUUGGUGUUACUGCGAAGGGGGGACGGAGAAGGCUAUGUUGGCCGGGCGACGGUUGUCCCGGUUUAAGCGUGUAGGUGUGUGUUCCAGGUAAAUCCGGUUCACUUUAACACUGAGGCGUGACGACGAGGCACUACGGUGCUGAAGCAACAAAUGCCCUGCUUCCAGGAAAAGCCUCUAAGCAUCAGGUAACAUCAAAUCGUACCCCAAACCGACACAGGUGGUCAGGUAGAGAAUACCAAGGCGCUUGAGAGAACUCGGGUGAAGGAACUAGGCAAAAUGGUGCCGUAACUUCGGGAGAAGGCACGCUGACACGUAGGUGAAGUGAUUUACUCAUGGAGCUGAAGUCAGUCGAAGAUACCAGCUGGCUGCAACUGUUUAUUAAAAACACAGCACUGUGCAAACACGAAAGUGGACGUAUACGGUGUGACGCCUGCCCGGUGCCGGAAGGUUAAUUGAUGGGGUCAGCGCAAGCGAAGCUCCUGAUCGAAGCCCCGGUAAACGGCGGCCGUAACUAUAACGGUCCUAAGGUAGCGAAAUUCCUUGUCGGGUAAGUUCCGACCUGCACGAAUGGCGUAAUGAUGGCCAGGCUGUCUCCACCCGAGACUCAGUGAAAUUGAACUCGCUGUGAAGAUGCAGUGUACCCGCGGCAAGACGGAAAGACCCCGUGAACCUUUACUAUAGCUUGACACUGAACAUUGAGCCUUGAUGUGUAGGAUAGGUGGGAGGCUUUGAAGUGUGGACGCCAGUCUGCAUGGAGCCGACCUUGAAAUACCACCCUUUAAUGUUUGAUGUUCUAACGUGGACCCGUUACCCGGGUUGCGGACAGUGUCUGGUGGGUAGUUUGACUGGGGCGGUCUCCUCCUAAAGAGUAACGGAGGAGCACGAAGGUUGGCUAAUCCUGGUCGGACAUCAGGAGGUUAGUGCAAUGGCAUAAGCCAGCUUGACUGCGAGCGUGACGGCGCGAGCAGGUGCGAAAGCAGGUCAUAGUGAUCCGGUGGUUCUGAAUGGAAGGGCCAUCGCUCAACGGAUAAAAGGUACUCCGGGGAUAACAGGCUGAUACCGCCCAAGAGUUCAUAUCGACGGCGGUGUUUGGCACCUCGAUGUCGGCUCAUCACAUCCUGGGGCUGAAGUAGGUCCCAAGGGUAUGGCUGUUCGCCAUUUAAAGUGGUACGCGAGCUGGGUUUAGAACGUCGUGAGACAGUUCGGUCCCUAUCUGCCGUGGGCGCUGGAGAACUGAGGGGGGCUGCUCCUAGUACGAGAGGACCGGAGUGGACGCAUCACUGGUGUUCGGGUUGUCAUGCCAAUGGCACUGCCCGGUAGCUAAAUGCGGAAGAGAUAAGUGCUGAAAGCAUCUAAGCACGAAACUUGCCCCGAG